rnacentral:misc_RNA from 1 species
AACGCAACUUGCACUCAUUGGUAUUCCAAUGAGUACGCCUGUUUCAGUAUCAAAAACAUCCCUUAUUCAAAUAUUUUUGUUUGAAUAGACUUGAGUGUAACGAAUUUCGAGACACUUUAAAUAUACUAGGGCUAUAAAGUUUUGACUGCCUAUAUUUUUUUAAUUUAAAAAAAUAGAAGCGACCGGAAUGGAUGGCCUCCAAAAUAACUUUUUAAACUUGAUCUGAAAUCAGGUGGGAUUACCCGCUGAACUUAA